GACGGAGAGGAUGGACAAAUCCCUGCAUUUGUUCAUCCUUUGCUUACAACUAGACUGGGUGAGCAGUAAACAGCAUGUGAAUCAGAGCCACGAAGCCCUGAGCGUCCGAGAGGGAGACGGCUUGGUUCUCAACUGCAGUUACACCGAUAGCGCUAUUUACUUCCUUCAGUGGUUUAGGCAGUAUCCUGGGAAAGGGCUUACUUCUCUGCUGUUAAUUCAAGCGAACCAGGGAGAACAAAUAAGUGGAAGAAUUAAAGCCUCAUUGGAUAAAUCGUCAAGAAACAGUGUUUUCUACAUUGCAGCAUCUCAGCCCAGCGACUCUGCCACCUACUUCUGUGCU